CGGAAGGUAUCCAAUACUAUUGUAAUUAAACAAAGGUUGCUCUGUAUGUUGGUGGUCUUUAUGUUUGUGGAAAGAUUGGAUGGGAAUCUGUAAUAAAAAAGGGAUUAGACACACAAGAACUGUUCUUCCACAAAAAUUUUCUGUAUUAUAACCCUCUCGUUCUGAUAGUAAGUCUUUGUCUUAUCAGUAAGUCAGAACCCUUAACAUGUCUUGUUUCCUCUAAUAUAUAUUCUAUUACGUUUAGACAAUUAUGGUUUGGCUCUGUGGUGUUAACUUGUGGGUGUUUUCUCAGACCGGGGUCGAUUAUGCAUCAAUAUUUUAUCUAGGACCAGAUCAUCUUAGUCACAAAGAGAUAUGGAAGGUACUACAAUUCUUAGUUAGGACCAUCUUUAUCCUUUUUUCAUGCAUUUCUGAAAAUCUGCGUGUGUCAUAGUGUGCUAGGUGGAUGAUACACGAUAAUAUUGACUAGCAUGACUGCGUAUAUGUAUUUAUACUCGCAUGGAGAUGUAUCAUUGGCUGCAUCUCAACCAGUUUUAUAAACAACAACAAAGCUUUUGUGUAGGUUUUUAUGUCGUAUGGUCCAUCAACAGAUCAGUAGUUAUUGUUGCAUGAAGAAAAAGAAGAUGGAUUUAGGAGAAUUAACAUAAUUCUCAUAAGACUAGGAAUCUCCAAUAUGAGUAUACAUUUAAGGCAUCCUCGAAGACGUUUAAGCAUCCAAUUAAAAGGAGAGAAGAGCAAUAAGAAAUGGACAGAAACCAAGACAAUUAGCAAUUAGAAAGAGUGUUUUAUUGCUUUGCCUUGUGAUAUUUAUAGUUUGUUCUUGAGAAACCUAUUGGUAGUGAAUAAAGGGAAGGAUAAGUUUUGGUAUCAAAUUUAUUCA